rnacentral:rRNA from 1 species
GAUGAACGCUAGCGGGAGGCUUAACACAUGCAAGUCGAGGGGCAGCAUAGGGUAGCAAUACUCUGAUGGCGACCGGCAAACGGGUGAGUAACGCGUAUGCAACCUACCCUGUACAGGGGGAUAACCCGGAGAAAUUCGGACUAAUAUCCCGUAAUAAUAUCCGGAGGCAUCUUUGGAUAUUUAAAGUUUCGACGGUACGGGAUGGGCAUGCGUAACAUUAGCUGGUUGGUAAGGUAACGGCUUACCAAGGCUAUGAUGUUUAGGGGUCCUGAGAGGGUGGUCCCCCACACUGGUACUGAGACACGGACCAGACUCCUACGGGAGGCAGCAGUGAGGAAUAUUGGUCAAUGGGCGCAAGCCUGAACCAGCCAUCCCGCGUGCAGGAAGACGGCCCUAUGGGUUGUAAACUGCUUUUCCAGGGAGAGAAACUUACGCACGUGUUGCGUGACUGACGGUACCCUGGGAAUAAGCAAUCGGCUAACUCCGUG